AGAGUUUGAUCAUGGCUCAGAUUGAACGCUGGCGGCAGGCCUAACACAUGCAAGACGAACGGUAACAGGAAGCAGCUUGCUGCUUCGCUGACGAGUGGCGGACGGGUGAGUAAUGUCUGGGAAGCUGCCUGAUGGAGGGGGAUAACUACUGGAAACGGUAGCUAAUACCGCAUAAUGUCGCAAGACCAAAGAGGGGGACCUUCGGGCCUCUUGCCAUCGGAUGUGCCCAGAUGGGAUUAGCUUGUUGGUGGGGUAACGGCUCACCAAGGCGACGAUCCCUAGCUGGUCUGAGAGGAUGACCAGCCACACUGGAACUGAGACACGGUCCAGACUCCUACGGGAGGCAGCAGUGGGGAAUAUUGCACAAUGGGCGCAAGCCUGAUGCAGCCAUGCCGCGUGUAUGAAGAAGGCCCUCGGGUUGUAAAGUACUUUCAGCGGGGAGGAAGGGAGUAAAGUUAAUACCUUUGCUCAUUGACGUUACCCGCAGAAGAAGCACCGGCUAACUCCGUGCCAGCAGCCGCGGUAAUACGGAGGGUGCAAGCGUUAAUCGGAAUUACUGGGCGUAAAGCGCACGCAGGCGGUUUGUUAAGUCAGAUGUGAAAUCCCCGGGCUCAACCUGGGAACUGCAUCUGAUACUGGCAAGCUUGAGUCUCGUAGAGGGGGGUAGAAUUCCAGGUGUAGCGGUGAAAUGCGUAGAGAUCUGGAGGAAUACCGGUGGCGAAGGCGGCCCCCUGGACGAAGACUGACGCUCAGGUGCGAAAGCGUGGGGAGCAAACAGGAUUGGAUACCCUGGUAGUCCACGCCGUAAACGAUGUCGACUUGGAGGUUGUGCCCUUGAGGCGUGGCUUCCGGAGCUAACGCGUUAAGUCGACCGCCUGGGGAGUACGGCCGCAAGGUUAAAACUCAAAUGAAUUGACGGGGGCCCGCACAAGCGGUGGAGCAUGUGGUUUAAUUCGAUGCAACGCGAAGAACCUUACCUGGUCUUGACAUCCACGGAAGUUUUCAGAGAUGAGAAUGUGCCUUCGGGAACCGUGAGACAGGUGCUGCAUGGCUGUCGUCAGCUCGUGUUGUGAAAUGUUGGGUUAAGUCCCGCAACGAGCGCAACCCUUAUCCUUUGUUGCCAGCGGUCCGGCCGGGAACUCAAAGGAGACUGCCGGUGAUAAACUGGAGGAAGGUGGGGAUGACGUCAAGUCAUCAUGGCCCUUACGACCAGGGCUACACACGUGCUACAAUGGCGCAUACAAAGAGAAGCGACCUCGCGAGAGCAAGCGGACCUCAUAAAGUGCGUCGUAGUCCGGAUUGGAGUCUGCAACUCGACUCCAUGAAGUCGGAAUCGCUAGUAAUCGUGGAUCAGAAUGCCACGGUGAAUACGUUCCCGGGCCUUGUACACACCGCCCGUCACACCAUGGGAGUGGGUUGCAAAAGAAGUAGGUAGCUUAACCUUCGGGAGGGCGCUUACCACUUUGUGAUUCAUGACUGGGGUGAAGUCGAAACAAGGUAACCGUAGGGGAACC
rnacentral:rRNA from 1 species